UACGGAGGGUGCAAACGUUGCUCGGAAUCAUUGGGCGUAAAGCGCACGUAGGCGGCGCGUUAAGUCGGGUGUGAAAGCCCCGGGCUCAACCCGGGAAGUGCAUUCGAAACUGGCGCGCUCGAGUAUGGAAGAGGGUCUCGGAAUUCCCGGUGUAGAGGUGAAAUUCGUAGAUAUCGGGAGGAACACCAGUGGCGAAGGCGGAGACCUGGGCCAAUACUGACGCUGAGGUGCGAAAGCGUGGGGAGCAAACAGG
rnacentral:rRNA from 1 species